rnacentral:rRNA from 1 species
UACAUAGGUGGCGAACGUUAUCCGGAAUUAUUGGGCGUAAAGGGUGCGUAGAUGGUAGAGUAAGUUAUUGGUCGAUGCCAAACUCAAUUUGGCGGAAGCUGGUAAUACUGUUCAACUAGAGGACAGGAGAGGUUGAUGGAAUUCUGUGUGGAGCGGUGAAAUGCGUUGAUCUACAGAGGAACACCAAAAAAGGCGAAGGCAGUCAACUAUUCUGUUCCUGACAUUGAGGCAUGAAAGCGUGGGGAGCAAACCGG